CAAGGAAUCUUCGGCAAUGGGCGCAAGCCUGACCGAGCAACGCCGCGUGGAGGACGACGGCCUUCGGGUUGUAAACUCCUUUUAUGGGGGAUGAUACGGACCGUACCCCAUGAAUCAGCCCCGGCUAACUCUGUGCCAGCAGCCGCGGUAAUACAGAGGGGGCAAGCGUUGUCCGGAUUUACUGGGCGUACAGCGCGCGCAGGCGGCCGUGUAUGUGACCGGUGACAGUCGCGGGCUCAACCCGCGCCGGCCCGGUUACACAGCACAGCUGGAGGCAGGGAGAGGGAUGUGGAAUACCCGGUGGAGCGGUGAAAUGCGUAGAGAUCGGGUGGAACACCAGCGGCGAAGGCGGCAUCCUGGCCCUGUACUGACGCUGAGGCGCGAUAGCGUGGGGAGCAAA
rnacentral:rRNA from 1 species